GAGACAACAUAUUUCCUAUGGCGAAAAGUAGCUCUUAAACUACCUGCAUACUCCCAGAACAAAGCGAAUACGUGUGCAGUCUGUGUCGGCUUAUCUUAGAUAAAUUAAAAGCACAUAAAAUUCCUCUGAAAGUGUGAGCGAAUGUUUCGGGGUUACGGUAUUAGUGAGUGUGGUUGUCAUGGAAAUAUGAGCUGGACAUUAGCCGUACGGGGUCGUCAUUGUGUGCUGGUCGUCACUCUGGACCGGUGGCUGACACCAUGUCGGAGGGAGAAAUGCUACCCACGGACGAUGUUUUCACGCAGCUACAUCAAGGAAAUCACUUUGUCGACACAGCCUCCUCUGGGCCUGACGACAUUUUUGAGGAGGACUGCUGCUCUCCGUCCUCCCUCUCCUCGUCUUCGUCCUCAGUCCCCACUGUGGCCUCCGUCCAGGGGAAAUCCGUGUGCACGUCCUGCGGCCUGGAGAUAGUGGACAGAUACCUGUUAAAGGUGAACAACUUGUGCUGGCAUGUGCGCUGCCUCUCCUGCAGUGUGUGUAAGACAUCACUCGGCCGACACGUCAGCUGCUACAUCAAGGACAAGCAGGUUUUCUGCAAACUUGACUACUUCAGGAGAUAUGGAACCCGCUGUGCUCGCUGUGGCCGUAACAUCCAUUCCAGUGACUGGGUGCGCCGAGCCCGAGGCAGCACCUUCCACCUGGCCUGUUUCUCCUGCACCUCCUGCAAGCGCCAGCUGUCCACUGGGGAGGAGUGUGGACUGCUAGAGAACAGGGUGUUCUGCCGACCGCACUACGACAUUAUGAUGGAGAAUAUCAAACGUGCUAAGGAGAAUGAGGAACCAAAAGAAGAUGAAGAGGUGGCAGACAAGGAAGACUCCACCGCCAUUCCCAGACCUGCUAAGAGGGCCAGAACCAGCUUCACUGUUGACCAGUUACAGGUGAUGCAAACUCAGUUUGCUAAGGAUAACAACCCAGAUGCUCAGACUCUCCAGAAACUAGCAGAGAGAACUGGCCUCAGCCGCAGGGUUAUUCAGGUAAAGCAACUGUUUGGUUUCAGAACUGCCGAGCUCGUCAAAAGAAAUACAUUAGUCCCAAUCCUACCUCCACCAUGAUGACAUCACUUGCUCCUGGUCAGCUGACACCACCUUUGAUGGAGGAUCUGCAGUACACAGCCUAUAUUUCCCCGGAUGCACCCCUCCUUACUACACUGACUUAUAUGGAUGUCCAAACUCCAGACCCACUUUUGCUGCAGCCGCUCAUUUCUCAUUCACUGACCCAACUGCCAGUCAGCCACGCCUGAGCUACAGCCCGCCUCUGAAGACAAUGAUUAGCUGAUGGGAAGAUGAACAACAAAUCAUUACUGCUUAAAGAAAACAAGUCAUCCUGUCCGAUCCUGUGAGGAUCAGAUGACUUUAAUUCAUGCGAUACUGGGCAUAAUAACAGCAGUUAAGUUAAUCUGUUUCACUGCCUAAUGCGUCUCUUGAAAAAUCAACUUAUUCAGCCACUGAAUUGAUUUCAUUCAAUCAUACAGAUUCACAGGUGAGAAUGUCAAGCAAAAUAUGGGUUUAUGUGAGAUGAACAUUUUGUUAAUAUGUAUGUGCUAUGAAUUUCUUUGGAGUUAAUUUAUUUGAGAAUAUGAUAAUGAUAAGGCACUUUGUUGAAAAAUGAUGUAAAACUGGAUAUAGAUUAGGUUUUCAGUUGGAUUUCAGAGUUUAUUUAAGGAUGUGUUUGAUGUGGUUUAUAAAGCAAAUUAUAACCACUGGAGAUCAUAUAUAGAUAUCUCCUGUUUCUUGUUGUGUUUGGCAAGAAAUGCAUUUAAAAACUUAAUUCACAUUGUUCAUCACUUACAGUGCCCAAGUCUGUUGUUCUCAAAACAUCCACAUGAUUAAUUUUGGGUAAACAUUUCUUAAGAUGCUUUUCGGUAGAGCAUGUGUUAAACACUGACCAAUAGCAAUACAACGAGUAAAUGUUUGUUUUGAUUAUGAAUGUUAGAUACCAGUAGAAGCCAUGUAUGAACUGUGCACUGGGAAUAAAUGGCUUUUCACAUUA